AGACCUUGUAGGUGAGAAUUCUUCCUGGAUAACUUGCAAUACAAAAACAUUAUUCUGCCCUCUCCCUUUCAUUCUGGUGAGACUCAGCCCCCUGCCUGAAGUCCCACACUACAUGUAUGGCAUGUUCCCUGGAAUGAGAAGAAAAUGGUUUCCUAAUUCUGUUCUCAAGAUUACUCCCGUUUGCAAGUAAGUGUACCAAGACAGAACAAAACGUAAAAAUGACAGAAUCAUGGAAUCAGUCAGCACACCUUUUCAGAUUACAAGUUUAUUUCAGA